AACGCUGAAGAGAGGAGCUUGCUCUUCUUGGAUGAGUUGCGAACGGGUGAGUAACGCGUAGGUAACCUGCCUUGUAGCGGGGGAUAACUAUGGGAAACGAUAGCUAAUACCGCAUAACAAUGGAUGACCCAUGUCAUUUAUUUGAAAGGGGCAAAUGCUCCACUACAAGAUGGACCUGCGUUGUAUUAGCUAGUAGGUGAGGUAACGGCUCACCUAGGCGACGAUACAUAGCCGACCUGAGAGGGUGAUCGGCCACACUGGGACUGAGACACGGCCCAGACUCCUACGGGAGGCAGCAGUAGGGAAUCUUCGGCAAUGGGGGCAACCCUGACCGAGCAACGCCGCGUGAGUGAAGAAGGUUUUCGGAUCGUAAAGCUCUGUUGUAAGUCAAGAACGAGUGUGAGAGUGGAAAGUUCACACUGUGACGGUAGCUUACCAGAAAGGGACGGCUAACUACGUGCCAGCAGCCGCGGUAAUACGUAGGUCCCGAGCGUUGUCCGGAUUUAUUGGGCGUAAAGCGAGCGCAGGCGGUUUGAUAAGUCUGAAGUUAAAGGCUGUGGCUCAACCAUAGUUCGCUUUGGAAACUGUCAAACUUGAGUGCAGAAGGGGAGAGUGGAAUUCCAUGUGUAGCGGUGAAAUGCGUAGAUAUAUGGAGGAACAC
rnacentral:rRNA from 1 species